rnacentral:rRNA from 1 species
GACGAACGCUGGCGGCGCGCUUAACACAUGCAAGUCGAACGGAAAGGCCUGCUUUCCCUUGUGGAUUGCGGGUACUCGAGUGGUGAACGGGUGAGUAACACGUGAGUGAUCUGCCCCCAACUUGGGUAUAAGCCUGGGAAACUGGGUCUAAUUCCCGAUAGGACUGCAGGGUGGUGCCUGUGGUGGAAAACGAUUUUCUAGUGGUUGGGGAUGAGCUCGCGGCCUAUCAGCUUGUUGGUGGGGUAAUGGCCUACCAAGGCGGCGACGGGUAGCCGGCCUGAGAGGGUGGACGGCCACAUUGGGACUGAGUUACGGCCCAGACUCCUACGGGAGGCAGCAGUGGGGAAUAUUGCACAAUGGGCGGAAGCCUGAUGCAGCGACGCCGCGUGGGGGAUGACGGCCUUCGGGUUGUAAACUCCUUUCGACCGCGAGGAAGCCACCUGGUUGGAAGGGUGGUGACGGUAGUGGUAGAAGAAGCACCGGCUAACUACGUG